GGCCGUAUGGUCUAGUAGUAUGAUUCUCGCUUUGGGAGAGUCGCAACACUCGGAAUUGCGAGAGGUCCUGGGUUCAAUUCCCAGUGCGGCCC
rnacentral:tRNA from 1 species